rnacentral:rRNA from 1 species
UACGAAGGGUGCUAGCGUUGUUCGGAAUCACUGGGCGUAAAGCGUGCGUAGGCGGCUUUCCAAGUCAGGGGUGAAAUCCUGGGGCUCAACCCCAGAAUUGCCUUUGAAACUGGAAAGCUAGAGUAUCGGAGGGGAUAGCGGAAUUCCUAAUGUAGAGGUGAAAUUCGUAGAUAUUAGGAGGAACACCGGUGGCGACGGCGGCUAUCUGGACGAUUACUGACGCUCUGGCACGAAAGUGUGGGGAUCAAACAGG